CGGGCAGUAGCUCAGUGGUAGAGCUCCCGCCUCAAAUGCGGGAAGACCUGGGUUCGAUUCUCUGUUGCUUGC
rnacentral:tRNA from 1 species